rnacentral:tRNA from 1 species
GCAAGUGUAGUGUAAUGGUUUGAGCUCUGGACUACAGCUCUAGGAGACCAGGGUUCGAAUCCCUGCUCAGACU